GGACGUAUGUCGAAAUCGAAUAUCAACCAUUGCUCGUACACACCGGGGUGGAAUGACAGGAACGACACACUCAACUGGCUUUUCAUCAUCGAUCUCUGCAUGAGGAGGUUGGGAACUGUUUCUACAAGAGGGCAAAGAAAUGGCAUCACAUAGUCCUUAAAUAUGCCGCCACCACCAUAGCUUCUUGAACAGCUGUCUGGUUUUCUAGAUUUGCCAGAACAACCAC